ensembl:lncRNA
CUUUGAGCAUAAGUAAAGAAUACUUACUUUAAAAUCUUUCUCCAAUUCAAAGAUUGGCAAACUUUUUUAUAAAAGGCAGGAUAGUAAAUAUUUUAGGCUUUGCAGGCCAUACAGUCUCUGUUACAACUACAGAACUGUGCCAUGUAGUGCAAAAGCAGCCAGAGACAAUACAUACAGGAAUUUGCAAUGCAGUAUUCAAAUACAACUUUAUUUACAAGACAGGCAUUGAGCUGGAUUUAACAGGAGGGCCACUGCACUAACUAUGCUAUACAACUAAUUGCAUCUGCAAGAAAUUCCUAUUCAGAUGGUUGAUUUUGCUCAUUGUCCCUAUAUGUCUCCAUGUGUUUUAGAUUUUGGUUUCUCUUUAAGAGGAAGUGGUUUUGCUGUUGUUGUUAUUGUUGUCAAUUUCUUGAUCAUUUCUUAUUUUCUUAUUACUCCCAGGCCAUCUGUUUCUGGCUGGGAAGGAAAACGGGGAGAGCAGUUAAACACAUUUUUCCUGUUCAUUACAGAUCCUGCCUUUAUCUACUUCACAGAAGAGUGCUGAGGGCAUCUAAGAGGACAAGUACUGGGAAGUCUUUUUAGAAAAACAAAAGCAAGCAGACCAAUAUCCACCUUCAUUUGAAUGUAUAUUCUCUAAAAAGAAAAUGGUAAUAUCAGAAGAAAGGAUUAAAUGCAGAUUUAAGAUUGAUAAAUGGUUAUUGAAAAUCACUGAAGAACGCAUGAUUUAAACUAUAAGGUAACCAGUACUGAUAAACAUUGUAAAGUAGUUAUCAGUGCUUAGAAUAGUACAUUGUUAGACCUAGUUAAAGUUCACUUUCUUUAACUCCAUCUUUUCACAGGUCUGGAAACUGAUCCACACAUAGGUUUCAAAUUGCUGAUAUGUUUGUCAUGUGUGGCACAUCCAUAAUGGAGUAAAUGACAUUAUGACAUCAUUUUAUGAGAGGCACUGCUUACAUGACCUUGACAAUCAAGUCCCCAACCUGGAAUAUAAUUGUCAGUUAACAUGUUACCAGUCCAGAUAUGUAUGUAACAGGAAUUUUGAAGGGCCUCUUUAACUUGGGAUCUUGAAACAUAAUACAAUGAUUGAGGAUAAAACAGUGUUCUUAUAUUAGUUUAUUACUCCCAUUCAACAAGAUGUGCUGAAACCCUGAAGAACAAAUGGCUCCCCUUUUUUUUUUUUUUUUAAGUCUUUCUUUCUUCUUCAUGCAGGUAUUGCAUAGCAUCAUUUUGAAUCCCACAUUUUGGAGUCUUACUGGCUAUCCUGGAAUGGAUUUCUUUCUUGUAGCAAGAUAUUGGUUAUUAAUAAUUACAAACAAUUCUUGGUCUCUUUAAAUCUGGAAUUAUUUAUUUAUUUAUUUAUUUAUUUAUUUAUUUAUUUGAGACAGAGUUUUGUUCUUGUUGCCGAGACUGGAGUACAAUGGCACGAUCUCAGCUUACUGCGACCUUCCCCUCCCGGGUUCAAAUGACUCUCCUGCCUCAGCCUCCCGAGUAGCUGGGAUUACAGGUGCCUGCCACUAUACCUGGCUAAUUUUUUGUGUGUGUGUGUGUGUGUAUUUUUAGUAGAGAUGGGGUUUCACCAUGUUGGCCAGACUGGUCUGGAACUCCUGAUCUCAGAUGAUCCACCUGCCUCGACCUCCCAAAGUGCUGGGAUUAUAGUCAUGAACCACCGUGCCAGGCCUGGAAUUAUUUAAAGUUCAGAUUUAUGAAUAACAACUCUUCCUUUAUUGAUUCUAAGAUUUUUUUUUCCCUCUAAAUUGGAUUAGCAAGAUGCCUUCUUGUUUUCCAGAGAAUGGCUCAUUUUUCUAUUUGCGUAGGUCUGCAGAUUUCUGCUUCUUGAAUGCUCCCUCUACUAGUGAUUUCUCCCUGCUAAGGCAGUUGGUGGGAGAGUGGCACAGAGGUUAUAUUCCUCUUCUUUUCUGUGGGGCGCAUAACAUCUAGAUUGGAAUCUGAUCUACAGAAAUAGCAUCCGGUGGAAAGAGGCAUAGACACUAUAGUACUUUCCAUAAAUAAAAUUUCAUGUAGUCUGGAUCAAGUAUAUCUGAAAUU